GCCGAGAGGGCAAGAUGCCGAACGUCCUUUAUUGACGUGAUCGCCUCCUUGGAGAUGGGAAUGCCACCUCUGAAAGGACUCGCCAGCAGCCUUCAUGGAGCCUGGCCUGCCAGCAUCCUGAAUCCUAGCAGCCUCCGCCCCCCACUGGCUGUUUCCUAGGAAGCCACUCACCCAGUCGGAGGAAACAAGCCAAGCUAACCCUGGACAAGGGAGGGGGUGAGGACAGCAAGUUUCCAGAGAGUGUCCUGCUUGGAGCAGAGUACAGACAAAAUGGACCUGUGGAGGAGCUAGGAUUACCAGAGGGCCCAGAAUGAAGACUCCAAGGGGUUCUUUGACAUAGGGAAGGCCUACUGGGAGAGAGUGGAGCUCUUCAGAGACAAGACUCAGCUUACCAGUGAUGUAAGUGGGAGCAAGGCAUCAGUGGACCAGGGACCAUAAACCCACCCAGGGACAUUUUGAAGCACAGAGAAGAGGCCAGCAGAGGCCAGCUUCCAUAUGUCCAAGUGUUUGAAAGUUAAGCCAUCAAACUAGCAAAGUCUCCAAUCUCUUCCCCUGACUUGACAGACAUCUUCAUGACAUCCUGAAGGUCAAGUGUGAAUUGAGAAUUUGGAGUCACAAGAAUUCCAGAUGGCAUGUGGUGGCCCAGGCUGGGUUCAGCCCCUAACCCUACCUAGUACUAGAAGAGAUCUUUAAAUUUGUAAAAUUACGUUCCUA